AAUCCUCAACCCCGUCGGUCGGGGCUUGGACUUUGGAGCGUGCUGGCGAAGGUCGGCUCCUCUUUAAAUGCAUCAGCGGAGAAAAACCUUUUUUUUCCCCCUUCAGUGUGAUAACUGCGUUGCGCUGUGGUCGUGAAAGGGGUCCGCUCAUAGUCGUCCUCUGGGACAAACACCAAAUCUG
rnacentral:misc_RNA from 1 species